rnacentral:rRNA from 1 species
UACGGAGGGGGCUAGCGUUGUUCGGAAUUACUGGGCGUAAAGCGCACGUAGGCGGCUUUGUAAGUUAGAGGUGAAAGCCCGGGGCUCAACUCCGGAAUUGCCUUUAAGACUGCAUCGCUAGAAUUGUGGAGAGGUAAGUGGAAUUCCGAGUGUAGAGGUGAAAUUCGUAGAUAUUCGGAAGAACACCGGCGGCGAAGGCGGCAUCCUGGACCGGCAUUGACGCUGAGGCGCGAAAGCCAGGGGAGCAAACGGG